rnacentral:rRNA from 1 species
CCCCUACGGGACGCAGCAGGGAAUAUUGCUCAAUGGGGGAAACCCUGAAGCAGCAACGCCGCGUGGAGGAUGAAGGUUUUCGGAUUGUAAACUCCUCUUGUUAGAGAAGAUAAUGACGGUAUCUAACGAAUAAGCACCGGCUAACUCCGUGCCAGCAGCCGCGGUAAUACGGAGGGUGCAAGCGUUACUCGGAAUCACUGGGCGUAAAGAGCGCGUAGGCGGGAUAGCAAGUCAGAUGUGAAAUCCUAUGGCUUAACCAUAGAACUGCAUUUGAAACUGUUAUUCUAGAGUAUGGGAGAGGUAGG